UUAUUUUCCAAUUUACUUCUAUUUUUUUUUUAAUUUUUUUUUGAGAAAUUUCUUUUUUCUUAGUAAAUAGAUGAGAAUUGAUUAUUUUAGUAAUAGCUUAUUAGUACUGUGAGGGGGCGUUGAAAUAUGGUUGAAAUUAAUUAUUUAUAAAGUAUAUUUUGUUAAUAGUACCUUUUGUAUCAGGGUUAAUUAAUUUUAUUUAAUUUAUUUUAUUUUCUCGAUAUUAUAAGAGCUAAUAAUUUAAUUUGUUUAUUGUGGUAAAAAUAUCAAUAAUAAUUAUUUGUAAAGAAAUUUUAUUCGUUUAUAAAUAUAUCUAGUUUUUUAAGAAAUAAAUUAAAUUUAGUUCUGUUUUAUUAUUUUGUUUUCUUAUUUAAAUUUAUAAAGGGCAGAUUAAAAAUGAUAGGGGAUAAGCUCUAUUUUUUUCUAAAAUAUAAUUUCAUUUAAUUUUUGUAGGUUUAGAAUCAUCCAUCAUUUGAAUUACGUUAUAGUUUAUAUUAUUUUGUUUUUGAUUUAUUUUUAUUUAGUAUAGAUAUUAAAAUAUUUAAGUUAACUUAAACUUUAAAGUAAUUAUGAUUAAAUUAGUAUAUUAUUAUUGUUAGUUGAGUAAUAAAAGUUAAUUCAUAAUAAGGAAUUCGGCAAAUACAAUGUUCGCCUGUUUAACAAAAACAUGUCUUCUCGUUUAUUUGGGAAGUCUGACCUGCCCAGUGAAAUAAUUAUUUAACGGCCGCGGUAUCUUGACCGUGCAAAGGUAGCAUAAUCAUUAGUCUUUUAAUAGAAGACUGGAAUGAAGGGUUUGACGAAAUAUUAACUGUCUCAUUUUGAUAUUUUAAAAUUUAAUUUUUGGGUUAAAAAGCUUAAAUUUUAUUGGAAGACGAGAAGACCCUAUAGAGCUUUAUAAUUAAAAUUAUAGUUGAAACUUGUUUAAUAAGGUAAAACUAUUAUGUUAAUUUUUUUGUUGGGGUGAUAGUAAAUAUAUAUUUAACUUUUAUAUAAUUAAAAUUGUUCAUUUAUUUAUGAUUAUUAGAUCCAUUAUUAUUGA
rnacentral:rRNA from 1 species